AUGAACGCUAGCGACAGGCUUAACACAUGCAAGUCGAGGGGUAACAGGGUAGCAAUACCGCUGACGACCGGCGCACGGGUGAGUAACGCGUAUGCAACCUGCCUAUAACUGGGGAAUAGCUCCCUGAAAGGGGAAUUAACACCGCAUAACACUAUUGAUUCGCAUGGAUUGGUAGUUAAAUGUAGCGAUACAGGUUAUAGAUGGGCAUGCGUGACAUUAGCUAGUUGGUGAGGUAACGGCUCACCAAGGCUACGAUGUCUAGGGGUUCUGAGAGGAAGGUCCCCCACACUGGUACUGAGACACGGACCAGACUCCUACGGGAGGCAGCAGUGAGGAAUAUUGGUCAAUGGGCGCAAGCCUGAACCAGCCAUGUCGCGUGCAGGAAGACUGCCCUAUGGGUUGUAAACUGCUUUUAUAGUAGAAGAAACACAUCUACGCGUAGAUGUCUGCCAGUAUACUAUGAAUAAGCAUCGGCUAACUCCGUGCCAGCAGCCGC
rnacentral:rRNA from 1 species